GAUGAACGCUGGCGGCGUGCCUAACACAUGCAAGUCGAACGAAGCACCUUACCUGAUUCUUCGGAUGAAAGUUUGGUGACUGAGUGGCGGACGGGUGAGUAACGCGUGUGUAACCUGCCCUGUACAGGGGGAUAACAGCUGGAAACGGCUGCUAAUACCGCAUCAGCGCACGAGGAGACAUCUCCUUGUUUGAAAAACUCCGGUGGUACAGGAUGGGCCCGCGUCUGAUUAGCUGGUUGGCAGGGUAACGGCCUAUCAAGGCAACGAUCAGUAGCCGGUCUGAGAGGAUGAGCGGCCACAGUGGCACUGAGACACGGUCCAAACUCCUACGGGAGGCAGCAGUGGGGAAUAGUGCAAAAUGGGGGAAACCCUGAUGCAGCAACGACGCGUGAGUGAAGAAGUAUUUCGGUAUGUAAAGCUCUAUCAGCAGGGAAGAUAAUGACGGUACCUGACUAAGAAGCCCCGGCUAAAUACGUG
rnacentral:rRNA from 1 species